AGAGUUUGAUCAUGGCUCAGGAUGAACGCUAGCUACAGGCUUGACACAUGCAAGUCGAGGGGAAACGACAUCGAAAGCUUGCUUUUGAUGGGCGUCGACCGGCGCACGGGUGAGUAACGCGUAUCCAACCUGCCCACCACUUGGGGAUAACCUUGCGAAAGUAAGGCUAAUACCCAAUGACGUCUCUAGAAGACAUCUGAAGGAGAUUAAAGAUUUAUCGGUGAUGGAUGGGGAUGCGUCUGAUUAGCUUGUUGGCGGGGUAACGCCACCAAGGCGACGAUCAGUAGGGGUUCUGAGAGGAAGGUCCCCANAUUGGAACUGAGACACGGUCCAAACUCCUACGGGGCA
rnacentral:rRNA from 1 species